rnacentral:misc_RNA from 1 species
AACGCAUAUUGCGCCCAUUGGUAUUCCAGUGGGCAUGCCUAUUCGAGCGUUGUUACUCAAACAACCAGCCAUUUCAUUAUGGUUGACGCUGGAGAUCUGCCGCUCUGAGCGAAAGCCGGUCUCUCAAAUCCAGUCGCCCUGGAGCUAAGACAGUUUUCACGUAGUACAAACUCGUCCAAACUUGCAGUGUUCCAGGAGCUUGAAGACCCUUACAUUGUUAAGGUCAUUACAUCGUUCGACCUCGAAUUAGGCAAGGAUACCCGCUGAACUUAA